rnacentral:tRNA from 1 species
GGAGAUGUAGCUCAGUGGUAGAGCGUCCGCUUCGCAUGCGGAAGGCCCGGGGUUCGAUCCCCCGCAUCUCCA